AUACUUAGCAGAGAAAACACCAUGAUCACGAAAGUGGUUUUCCUGUUGUGUGGCUUAUUCUUUGCACUUUGGGUUUGUUGACUCCUGUGAUUUCCUUAAAUGUAGGAAACCCAGCUGCAUAAUUUCUUAUAGUGGGGAACUGCACCUUUUUACUUCCUCU